rnacentral:rRNA from 1 species
GUCCUGGCAGUAAACGGUGCGCGUUUGGUGUGGGAGGAAUCGACCCCUUCCGUGCCGGAGCUAACGCGUUAAACGCGCCGCCUGGGGAGUACGGUCGCAAGAUUAAAACUCAAAGAAAUUGACGGGGGCCCGCACAAGCGGUGGAGUAUGUGGCUUAAUUCGAUGCAACGCGAAGAACCUUACCUAGGCUUGACAUGCAUCUCUAAGUCGGUGAAAGCCGGCGAGUACCGCAAGGUACAAUUUGCACAGGUGCUGCAUGGCUGUCGU